GCAGACUCCCCACCAAACAGGGAGCCUGAUGUGGGAACUGAUCCCAGCACUUUGGGGUCAUGACCCAAAUUAAAGGCAGAUGCUAAACCCACUGAGCCAUCCAGGUGCAGUUGAUUCUUAUUCUUAACCCCCUUGACUGCCUCCCUCCUUUCCUCCUCCAAUUAGCCAGGCCAAACCUUGUGUCUUGUGUUGAGCUCAAAUAAUGUCAGCCUGAGAGCAGAGAGAGCCGAAUGGGUAGACUAACGGAACCAGGUAGCAGAAACAAGAUAUGCCUUCCCCUGGAGCAGAGCCUGUUCAUUAUCUCCCAGGAGCCCUUGUCGUCUUCUUCCCUGUAGACAUAGACCACCUUGAAACUCAUCCAGAUAACAUGGCCUGCCUAACUGAAGAUAUUUCCCAUCCUGCUUUGCAAUUAGAUGUGCCCAGGGGACCAAGUUUAAAUGAACAAGAGCCCUUUCUCAGGAAGCUGAUAGAGGAUAUGCUCCAACAAACUGAGGGUGUAAACCAAGGGAGAGGAAGAUGGGAGACGGGAAACAGAAGACUAAAUGAAGGAGAGAGGAGGAGCCUGGUGACAACCACGCACCAGAAUGGAGGUGCUGAGGGCAAACUUGAACAGGCCAGUGGCUUCCUGCGUAGACCUGAUGUCUCAUGCAAGCUGCCGUUACUGAUGAAAGGGAAGAAGAGAAAUUGGGCGUUGGACCAGUUCCUUGAUCUGUCCUCACAAGCUGCUGGCAGUCUUCCUCCUCCCACAGCUGUUCCUGGAUACCUUUAGCACUUUGGCCUCAUCACCUGGCUAAGAAGUUCAACUAGUAUCUUUCCCAAGAACCCCUGGCUUUGUUAGUCUUAUAACCGUCCCCAAACCACCUGCCUGCUUCCUGUGUUUCACUGUUCUGGAUCUGGGGGGAAAAAAAAAAAAAGACUACAGAGCAAUUUGCAUAAAAUUAAGUUGUUUUUUUUUUUUUUUUAAUAAGGAAAAUGACCUUUUGGCAAACGAGCUACCCUUUCCCAUCCAUAACUGGUCCCUCCAGAUAUGGUACAGGGAUUUUUUUUCUUAGAUGGGUGAUUAUUCUUCAACUAAAUUAGCAACUACGCAAAUUCCAGCUGUUUUUAUUUCCUUCCACACUACCUUGGGUAUUGAAUUUGUAAAACUCAGCCAAACCUCUUUUCUGUCUUAGUAUUUUACAUUUGAACAAGCCAGACAAGCUUUAAGGCAUUGAUCAAGUCGUUACUUGACAAUAUCACACAAAUACAUUUAGGCACUCCAGGGCAAUAUAUUAAGCUGAUCUGCAAAAUGUUCCUCUCUUACUACAUUCAAGACAUUUUGUUUUCACUUUCCAGUUCUUGACGAAGAAAUUUGACAACGGUUCUGUUUCAUCUCCAGCUUCUGCC